UUUAUGGAGAGUUUGAUCCUGGCUCAGGAUGAACGCUGGCGGCGUGCCUAAUACAUGCAAGUCGAGCGAACAGACGAGGAGCUUGCUCCUCUGACG
rnacentral:rRNA from 1 species